UGUAGCUCACAGUUACUCUACACUGCAGAUAUGACGCCUCUGUUCAUCUCAGUGCUGCUGGCUGCUAUGUGCCUCGAAUGCAGAGCACAAAAAGACAACGUGCUGCAAGCAAAAGGAGAAGAGACUGCUGCUGCAGGAGGCACAGUAACACUUGGAUGUCAGUAUGAGAGCAGUGGUUUAACAGGGACUUCUCUCUUCUGGUACAAACAGGAUGAAAACAACAGCCCCAAAUUCAUCCUGAGUCGUGUUAGUGGGGACCAAGGGGAGACAGCAGACGAGUUCAAGGAGAGAUUUUCAUCCACACUGGAUUCCAGCAUCAGAUCAGUUCCUCUGAAGAUCCAGAAGCUUCAGCUGUCUGACUCUGCUGUGUACUACUGUGCUCUGCAGCCCACAGUGACAGGAAACACCAAAACUCUGUACAAAAACCUUUGGAGCAAAGACAACAGAAUACUCCACAACAUCCACUAGAGGGAGC